UGCGCAGCCUACCAUGCAGUCGAGCGGAAACGAGUUAUCUGAACCUUCGGGGAACGAUAACGGCGUCGAGCGGCGGACGGGUGAGUAAUGCCUAGGAAAUUGCCCUGAUGUGGGGGAUAACCAUUGGAAACGAUGGCUAAUACCGCAUGAUGCCUACGGGCCAAAGAGGGGGACCUUCGGGCCUCUCGCGUCAGGAUAUGCCUAGGUGGGAUUAGCUAGUUGGUGAGGUAAGGGCUCACCAAGGCGACGAUCCCUAGCUGGUCUGAGAGGAUGAUCAGCCACACUGGAACUGAGACACGGUCCAGACUCCUACGGGAGGCAGCAGUGGGGAAUAUUGCACAAUGGGCGCAAGCCUGAUGCAGCCAUGCCGCGUGUGUGAAGAAGGCCUUCGGGUUGUAAAGCACUUUCAGUCGUGAGGAAGGUAGUGUAGUUAAUAGCUGCAUUAUUUGACGUUAGCGACAGAAGAAGCACCGGCUAACUCCGUGCCAGCAGCCGCGGUAAUACGGAGGGUGCGAGCGUUAAUCGGAAUUACUGGGCGUAAAGCGCAUGCAGGUGGUUUGUUAAGUCAGAUGUGAAAGCCCGGGGCUCAACCUCGGAAUUGCAUUUGAAACUGGCAGACUAGAGUACUGUAGAGGGGGGUAGAAUUUCAGGUGUAGCGGUGAAAUGCGUAGAGAUCUGAAGGAAUACCGGUGGCGAAGGCGGCCCCCUGGACAGAUACUGACACUCAGAUGCGAAAGCGUGGGGAGCAAACAGGAUUAGUCCCUUGGUUAUUCAAAA
rnacentral:rRNA from 1 species